ACUAACCUUCCCUCUGAAUUUGCAGUUUGGAAAUAUCCAGGAGGAAGUGAUUUACAUAAGAGUACAAGUAUAUUUUGGGCCAAUACCACAAAUGAAGUGAGGAUAAAGAUGCUGCUGGAAAGAAAUUUUACAUUUUCCCAGGAUGGUGUUGUAACAUGCAGCCCCCAUCAGACUGGAUUACAUGAUACAGUUGACCCAGCAACUAACAUAAGAAUUAUACAUUCUCAGGACUGUCCAACUACCACCCUAUGGCCAGAGCAUGGCCUUUUCUUACAACCAACACAAACUGUUGUGUAUACUGAUGUAUCUUAUGUAAC